GAUGAAGAACGUAGCGAAAUGUGAUACGUAGUGUGAAUUGCAGAAUUCAGUGAAUCAUCGAAUCUUUGAACGCACAUUGCACCUCUCGGUAUUCCGGGAGGUAUGCCUGUUCGAGCGUCAUUUGUACCCUCAAGCUCUGCUUGGUGUUGGGUGUUUGUUCCGCCUCUGUGUGUGAACUCGCCUCAAAACAAUUGGCAGCCGGCAAAAGCCUGGGAGCGCAGCACAAUUGUUGCUUUCAGACUGCUUGUCGAGCGUCCAGCAAGCCUAUUAUUCUUGCGUUUGACCUCGGAUCAGGUAGGGAUACCCGCUGAACUUAAGCAUAUCAAUAAGCGGAGGA
rnacentral:misc_RNA from 1 species